CAGUCGCCACGGUAAUACGAAGGGUGCAAGCGUUAAUCGGAAUUACUGGGCGUAAAGCGUGCGUAGGCGGUUUGUUAAGUCUGCUGUGAAAUCCCCGGGCUCAACCUGGGAAUGGCAGUGGAUACUGGCAAGCUAGAGUGUGUCAGAGGAUGGUGGAAUUCCCGGUGUAGCGGUGAAAUGCGUAGAGAUCGGGAGGAACAUCAGUGGCGAAGGCGGCCAUCUGGGACAACACUGACGCUGAGGCACGAAAGCGUGGGGAGCAAACAGGAUUAGAUACCCCGGUAGUCCCUGUCUCUUAUCC
rnacentral:rRNA from 1 species